CAUUUCCCUCAUUUUAUUUUAUUUUCUCAUUUCCACAGUCCUGUCCAUUCCGUACUAGCUAUUCAAGAGCCAACUACGUCAAGAGAGACAGACCCAACAACUAGUAAACACAAAAGUUCUUGGGCAAAUGCAUAAAUUUGGAAAAAAGCACAAAUUAAAGGUAAAAUAAGGGAUUUUUAAGUUCGAAAAUGACCUCAAAGGCCUUCGGCAUUUGGCCGCGUUGUCGGUCUCGGAACGAGCUUUCCGGAAAGUACUCGCGGCCCCCGUGAGUCCAUCGGGAUCGAAAGUUAUGCGCGUGAACGAAGAGACGCGCGGAUUCCGUGAAUUGCUCGGAAAUUGAGCGGCGUGUCCUUGAAAGCGGGAAGUGGAACACUCGAGACUUCCCUCGAGAAGAGACUUCAAGUAAAUUCGCAACGCAUAGGAUGAC
rnacentral:misc_RNA from 1 species